UCAGGAAAGUUCAACCCAUCUGUUUAAUCUUUGUUUUCUGAUUUUCAUUGUUCGUUUCUAAAACAAGCUUUACAUUUAAUUUAAUAAAGGGUUCAGAUUGACUAAUAAGGAUCACUUCUGAUUCUGAUUUUGCAAGAAUAGAGUGAAGACUCAUACAAAGAAAAUUCACUGUGUAAACAUCCUGCCCAAGAAAGGAAGGUUUGCCCUCACACCAUCUACAGGAUUCCCAUCCAUAGUCCUUUGUAGCCAUAUACAGUGUGCGACAGAGCAAUUUGGAAAGAUUCAUCUAUCAAGUUUAACAACUUUCUGGUGUAACUUCAGAAAGGUUUAUUGCUUAUUCAUGUGGAAGUACCAAAAUGGGGUAAGAAUGACCAACUUAGGCUUUAAGGCUGCCACAGGAAUACAACGUACCUGGCCUGGACUGAGAGAAGAGUUUUUGAGAACAUUUGUCCCAAAUCUGACUGCAGAUGGUACUUUGGAGCACUUUUCAUCAGUUUUCCUUGCCUUUGUGAUGAAUACAUAGAAGAAAUCUCUCAGUUCCUUGGAACUAGAGAGCUUUAAAAAGAAACCUACUUCCCCUUUCUACAAUCCUCAGAUCUUCAGUAUGUUAGGAGCUAGAGAGCACAGAAGGAAUGAAAUGCUAGAACCAACAAGAACAUGUGUUUCACAGCGAAUGGUGAGUAGUGUAUUUUAUCUGACAAAGUGUGGAUUUUUUGAUGCUAAGGGACAACAGCACCAUUUAGUUCUUCCCAUGAAGUAGGAAGUAACUGAAAUUAUUUUAAUGUGAUUUUUCUGCUUCUUGCAUGUAAGUGGUAUUUUCUUUAUCACUGAGGACAAGAGGUUGUAAAUCUUGAAGUGCCAUGCAGCAUAAAAUACUUACUUGACUUCUUAUCAAGAGCCAGGGUGCAAGUGCUUUAGGGCAGAAUUUGCUUUCCUCUUCUCCCAUUCUCCCUACUAACUUCCACCUUAUUACAGACACAUUGUUACAAGGCCUGUGCACUCAUAACCAUACCAAUUCCACAGGGCCCACAUAUCACUCUUAGGAUUUAAGUGUUCAGAUACUUUGUAAUGACUUUCUGUGAGUAUAUGACUUUAAAUCACUAUGCCUACAUAAUAAAAAAAGGGAAUAAACCUCCUUUCUGACUAACCUUAAGAUGAUGUCGAUCUUAGGAAAACAUGUGUUUUGAGCUCAUGAGCUUUUCCAACUAACAUGUUCAAUGCUUGUUUACUGUGUAGGCAUAGAUCACUCAGUAUUUUGCAUUGGAGCAGAGUUCAGAACUCACUUUAUUUUCAAGGCAAAGUUACAGGGAAAAGAAACCUCUUCUACUAGAAUAGCUGAUACCAAUAACACAAGGAAGGCUUUUGUACACUAAAGAGGGCUUGUGUCUACAAGCUUUUUUUCUCCCUGGUUAAAAGAGUUGGUCUAAAAGAAAAUACUGCCUCUUCCUGCAGUUCUUAACUUAUCCUUAGACCGUACUACUACAACAGCAGUAGUAUUACCAUACUUUGCCUUUCCUGUAAGGGCUAGCAACAUAAACUUACUUUGCUUUUGAAGUGAAUUAAUAUAAUUCCCUGGAAGUCCGUAGAGGCUCUGUGCUUGGAAAUACAACUUUCUAGGCU